rnacentral:lncRNA from 10 species
GUUAUUAUUACCUGAGACCCUGAAAGGAAGCACUAAAGAAAUGAAGACAGAGGAAUACCAGGAGAGAAAGGAGGUCCAGUUAGACCUAAAGGUGGGCAAGAAGAAGAAGAAGAGAGUGCUUUGCCUGUAGCAUUUGAGGCAGGCGGCUGGGACACUGAAUGAAGAGCCUGGGGGAGGCAGGUUCAGCAUGCCACCGUUUCCUGGUCAUGAAGAUGCCAGCUCCAGCUCCAAGCAGAGGAGGCUGGCCUUUGCCCCACGGCCUUGGCUGCAGCACCAUCACAUGCCUCCACGCCUCUCCAUCUCCUCAUGAAGAUCUCUCUCCAGAUAGAGACCAUUUCCUCCCUAGAGGAAUCCUUGUACUAUCCGUAGGAGGCACCUGUUGAAUUCAGGCAUCGGCAUGUGACUUGAUUUGGUCAAUGAAAUGUGAGAGAAGUGACAUCCACUUUGAGGCAGGCACUUUCCGAAUGCCAUCAAGCUGAGAUGUGAAGCGGAAGUGAGGCAGAGGCUCCCUUCCUUUUGUUUGGCGCAGUUUUCUGUGAGAGAGCAGAGGUGGGAGAUGAGGGGACCUCUGCCCCAGUGUUUCUGCAUCCAAGCUCCAGCCUUGUUGAAGGUUGCCCCGACGGCCACUCUCCAUACUGCUGCCAGAAGAACCUUGAAAUAUCGCUCUUUUUAAUUAAAAAGCAAAACUCUUCAA